CAGAGACCCCGAGCAUUAUCCGGAUUUAUUGGGCGUAAAGCGUUCGUAGGUGGUUUCGUAAGUCAUUUGUUAAAUCUUCAGGCUUAACCUGGAGGCUGCGGGUGAUACUGCGAGGCUAGAGUAUGGGAGAGGCAGACGGAAUGCCCGGUGUAGCGGUAAAAUGCGUUAAUAUCGGGUAGAACACCAAAGGCGAAAGCAGUCUGCUGGAACAUUACUGACACUGAGGAACGAAAGCGUGGGUAGCGAAAGGGAUUAGAUACCCCUGUAGUCCACGCCGUAAACGAUGGCCACUAGAUUUUGGGAGUAUCGACCCUCCCAGAGUCGUCGAAACAAGCUAACGCGUUAAGUGGCCCGCCUGGGAAGUACGAUCGCAAGAUUA
rnacentral:rRNA from 1 species